rnacentral:rRNA from 1 species
UACGUAGGUGACCAGCGUUGUCCGGAUUUACUGGGCGUAAAGAGCGCGCAGGCGGUCGUUCAAGUCGAGUGUGAAAGCCCCCGGCUCAACUGGGGAGGGUCAUUCGAUACUGAUCGACUCGAAGGCAGGAGAGGGAAGUGGAAUUCCCGGUGUAGUGGUGAAAUGCGUAGAGAUGUGGAGGAACACCAGUGGCGAAGGCGACUCUUUGGCCUGUAACUGACGCUGAGGCGCGAAAGCGUGGGGAGCAAACAGG